CUUGGUUCAAAUAAGAAAACCAGUAAAGCCUGGUGCGUAAUGGCUGCAAACAGCAGCCUCCUGGGCAGUUGGAGGCACCUGUUACUUGUCUGGGCUGCCUGAGGGGACCUGAGACAGUC
rnacentral:snoRNA from 1 species